rnacentral:pre_miRNA from 1 species
AGGCAGUGUACUGUUAGCUGGCUGCUUUGUGUGAAUCUAGCAGUCGCUACUGCACUGUCAA